GAUAAUGCAAAUGCUACUAAACCGUGUUGUGAGCAUGUGCAUCUUGUGGAGGAGAAUGCCAAGUUGAAGGAGCAACUUGAGAAAGGCCUUGUGUCUUGCAUACAAGGUGAGAAUAACCUCAAUCACCUUUUGAGCAAUCAAAAGGAAGUUGUGGGCAAGGAGGGGGUUGCGUUUGCACCCAAGUCCAAGGAGAAGAAGAAUGACAAGACCAAACAACCUCCUCCUCUCAAGCAAACAUUUGUGAAGGAGGGAGAGGGUGCUCCUAAGGAGAAGAAGAACAAUGCAAAAAGGGGUGGUGCCAAGAAGGGCAAGGCCACUCCUUCCAACAAAGCUGAC
rnacentral:rRNA from 1 species